ACGAACGCUGGCGGCAGGCUUAACACAUGCAAGUCGAGCGCCCCGCAAGGGGAGCGGCAGACGGGUGAGUAACGCGUGGGAAUCUACCCAUCCCUACGGAACAACUCCGGGAAACUGGAGCUAAUACCGUAUACGCCCUUCGGGGGAAAGAUUUAUCGGGGAUGGAUGAGCCCGCGUUGGAUUAGCUAGUUGGUGGGGUAAUGGCCUACCAAGGCGACGAUCCAUAGCUGGUCUGAGAGGAUGAUCAGCCACACUGGGACUGAGACACGGCCCAGACUCCUACGGGAGGCAGCAGUGGGGAAUAUUGGACAAUGGGCGAAAGCCUGAUCCAGCCAUGCCGCGUGAGUGAUGAAGGCCCUAGGGUUGUAAAGCUCUUUCACCGGUGAAGAUAAUGACGGUAACCGGAGAAGAAGCCCCGGCUAACUUCGU
rnacentral:rRNA from 1 species